AGGAAAGUUGAUUGAGUUAAGAUAUCCUGAGCACUGUACUUGAUAAAUAUUUGUUACACAUUAACAACUUUGAGGUGUUUCAGGCCAUAUAGUACAUUAAAAAUUCUGUUUCUGAGAGAGCCAAGAGGGUGGUAUUAUAAGGCUUCCCAAUUAUUUUCUAUGCUGCAAUCUCAAAAGGUUAGCCUUUUACUUUAAAAACAUAUAACAUUCACUCACUAUUCAUGACACAGCUAUUGUUCAUGAAUCUGAGUUAUUAUUCAUUUAUAUUUCAUUUUAUUUUUAGCCUUUAAUACCUCUUGUUUUCAUUAACUGGUGUGUAAAGUGCUAUUUUAUUUUAUAGAGCCUGACCCUAUGUCAUUCAUUCAAUAUGGGAUAAUCCUGAAAUUCUUUGAGCCUGAUUUUCUUCAUUUGAAAUAUAAUAAUAGUAAUAAUAAUAGUUAUUAGUCUAGUUUUAAUAAUAGUUUUAUUCUCAAGAUAGAAUGAAUUACAAUAAAAAACAAUUACCUAGCACAUAGUAGAUGCUAUUUUGUUGUAGAAUCUAUUACCUUUAUAGGUUAUUUUCACGCUUUUAUAAAAUUCAGUUAUGUUCUCUUUCAAAUUUACUUUUUUGAGAUUGAUGAAUCCCAUUUCAUCAUAAGAAAAAUUUUAGACAUUCUCGAUUUUAGUUACCUUUUCUUUUACCUUCUUUGAACUCUAUAUUGUCUUUCUUCAGGAAUGGCAUUGGAAUUGUACCCGAGUUUAGAUUUUUAAUCAACUUAUAAUCAGCUUCUUCUAAUUUUUUAUUUUCAUCCCAAAGGGAAAGUGAAUUCUGGUAGAAAUUAGAGGUAAUGAAGAAUUGCUGACUCAUCAUUUAACUGCUUCUCUUGCCAUGUAAGAUUUGGAGUGGGAAAGGAACAGUGUCUGUGAUGGUUCAUGGUUGUACCUUAAUCAUCAGCAUUAGUCUAUCCUGCAUUGUGACAGAUAAGCAAAAAGAGGUGAGAUCCAGUAAACCUUCCCAAACUUCUCAAGAUCAAGAUAUUUUAUUAUUCCUUGAAGAAGGAAAUUAUGAACUUCCAGUUUCCUCUUUAUCUGGGUGAGUGGCUAUUUAAUGGAGUCAAAAAUUGCAGUGGACUCUAAUCAAAUGAUACAAAUUGCUGAAGAUUUCAUAAUGGGGGUCAGAAGUCCUAUCACAUUCAUUUUCCUUUUUGAGCUAUUAUAUUAUAUUAGUCUUAAUACUUAGUGUCCUGCUAACAUGAGCAAAAAUCUGUGAGAUGAGUAUGCUUCCUGUAGAGCUGGGCUUAGAUAAGCCUUAUGGCAGGCAGUCCCCUCCAUUAUUUCAGAGCCUGCUCUACCAAAUCAGAUGGUCAGCUUUGGCCUUUGCUGUCCAU
rnacentral:lncRNA from 1 species